GAGUUUGAUCGUGGCUCAGAUUGAACGCUGGCGGCAUGCCUUACACAUGCAAGUCGAACGGCAGCAUGAUCUAGCUUGCUAGAUUGAUGGCGAGUGGCGAACGGGUGAGUAAUACAUCGGAACGUGCCCUGUAGUGGGGGAUAACUAGUCGAAAGAUUAGCUAAUACCGCAUACGACCUGAGGGUGAAAGUGGGGGACCGCAGGGCCUCAUGCUAUAGGAGCGGCCGAUGUCUGAUUAGCUAGUUGGUGGGGUAAAGGCCCACCAAGGCGACGAUCAGUAGCUGGUCUGAGAGGACGAUCAGCCACACUGGGACUGAGACACGGCCCAGACUCCUACGGGAGGCAGCAGUGGGGAAUUUUGGACAAUGGGCGAAAGCCUGAUCCAGCAAUGCCGCGUGUGUGAAGAAGGCCUCGGUGUAAG
rnacentral:rRNA from 1 species